rnacentral:rRNA from 1 species
ACUGCUCAGUAACACGUGGCUAACCUGCCCUCAGGACAGGGACAACCCCGGGAAACUGGGGCUAAUACCUGAUAGGUGAGGAUGCCUGGAAUGGUUUCUCACUCAAAGGGUCUUGGGAACAUGCUCCCAUUGUCGCCUGAGGAUGGGGCCGCGACCGACCAGGUUGUUGGUGAGGUAAUGGCUCACCAAGCCUAUAACCGGUACGGGCCGUGAGAGCGGUAGCCCGGAGAUGGGUACUGAGACAAGGACCCAGGCCCUACGGGGCGCAGCAGUCGCGAAAACUCCGCAAUGCACGAAAGUGUGACGGGGCUACCCCGAGUGCCAUCCGCUGAGGACGGCUUUUCCUUGGUAUAACUAGCCAGGGGAAUAAGGAGAGGGCAAGACUGGUGUCAGCCGCCGCGGUAAUACCAGCUCUCCGAGUGGUAGGGAUGAUUAUUGGGCUUAAAGCGUCCGUAGCCGGCUUAGCAAGUCUCCUGUUAAAUUCAGCGACCUAAUCGUUGAGCCGCGGGAGAUACUACUAGGCUAGGAGGCGGGAGAGGUCGACGGUACUUCUGGGGUAGGGGUGAAAUCCUAUAAUCCCGGGAGGACCACCAGUGGCGAAGGCUGUCGACUAGAACGCGCUCGACGGUGAGGGACGAAAGCUGGGGGAGCAAACCGGAUUAGAUACCCGGGUAGUCCCAGCUGUAAACGAUGCGGGCUAGGUGUUGGGGUGGCUACGUGCCACUUCAGUGCCGCAGGGAAGCCAUUAAGCCCGCCGCCUGGGGAGUACGGCCGCAAGGCUGAAACUUAAAGGAAUUGGCGGGGGAGCAC